AACGUCCCCGUUUUGACCAAUUAUAAGGCCAUCCAUCUUUGUAUCCUCUUCCAUGUUGCUUUCAUGUGGCAUAUCCCUUUCUGUUAUCUAAUAUUAGUAGAUAUUAUGAAUCCAGAACAUCCUCCAAGACCCUGUGAUCAGACAGAGUUUCUGAUAGGGAAUUAUGUGAAAUUUUUUUCACCAACUGAAGCAGAAACAGAAUACUGAAUGAAUGUUGUACAAGUGCACCAAUACAAUCCCAGAGCAACUACAAGUCACUGUCAUUGUGUAUGCUUCAGAAGCAGGGGAAUUCUCUCACGUAUUAACAAAGCCUCUCAGAUCUCUCCCUUAGGACACAGCUGGACAGAUCUUUGUGGCAUUUGAGAAACCAGAAGAAGUCCCAGCUUGUCUUGUUGUAUUGCUGUGAUAGGUCAAGGGGUGGAAACUCACCUUAUAUCACCUUAUAUCAGAUUCAUUUUUCUUACACAUUCACCAUCAGAGGAGGUCAAGAGACAUUUAAGCUUCCUUGUUCAACAAAGGGUAAUAAUUGUGGGAAUACAAUGUUUCUUUUUCGAAAGUUUACCUACAAAGAAUGCUGUCAUAAUGGCAUUGUAUGAUAGAGUCAUUUGUGUUAACUAUCUCCUAUUUAACAGGUGCCCAAUUGAGACAGCUUAAUGUAGCUUUUGUUUUCAAUUCAAAUAUGUUCCUUUGUUUAGAUACAAAGUUGUA